UAAGGAAUAUUGGCCAAUGGACGCAAGUCUGAACCAGCCAUGCCGCGUGGAGGAUUAAGGCCCUCUGGGUUGUAAACUCCUUUUAUCUGGGAAGAAAUGUACUUUUUCUUGAGUACUUGACGGUACCAGAGGAAUAAGCACCGGCUAACUCCGUGCCAGCAGCCGCGGUAAUACGGAGGGUGCAAGCGUUAUCCGGAUUCACUGGGUUUAAAGGGUGCGUAGGUGGGCAGGUAAGUCAGUGGUGAAAUCUCCGGGCUUAACCCGGAAACUGCCGUUGAUACGAUUUGUCUUGAAUAUUGUGGAGGUAAGCGGAAUAUGUCAUGUAGCGGUGAAAUGCUUAGAUAUGACAUAGAACACCCAUUGCGAAGGCAGCUUACUACACAAUCAUUGACGCUGAGGCACGAAAGCGUGGGGAUCAAACA
rnacentral:rRNA from 1 species